AGAGUUUGAUCAUGGCUCAGAGUGAACGCUGGCGGCGUGCUUAACACAUGCAAGUCGAACGAGAACGGUCCUUCGGGAUGUCAGCUAAGUGGCGGACGGGUGAGUAAUGUAUAGUUAAUCUGCCCUUUAGAGGGGGAUAACAGUUGGAAACGACUGCUAAUACCCCAUACUCCUUUUACCUUAAUGGUAAUUGGGAAACGUUUUUUCGCUAAAGGAUGAGACUAUAUGGUAUCAGGUAGUUGGUGGGGUAAGAGCCUACCAAGCCAAUGACGCCUAGCUGGUCUGAGAGGAUGAUCAGCCACACUGGAACUGAGACACGGUCCAGACUCCUACGGGAGGCAGCAGUGGGGAAUAUUGCACAAUGGAGGAAACUCUGAUGCAGCAACGCCGCGUGGAGGAUGACGCAUUUCGGUGUGUAAACUCCUUUUAUAUGGGAAGAUAAUGACGGUACCACUGAAGGAAGCACCGGCUAACUCCGUGCCAGCAGCCGCGGUAAUACGGGGGGUGCAAGCGUUAUUCGGAAUCAUUGGGCGUAAAGGGCACGCAGGCGGCCUGGUAAGUCAGAUGUGAAAGCCCGGGGCUUAACCCCGGAAGUGCAUUUGAUACUGUCAGGCUUGAGUAUGGGAGAGGGAAGUGGAAUUCCUGGUGUAGAGGUGAAAUUCGUAGAUAUCAGGAGGAACACCGGUGGCGAAGGCGACUU
rnacentral:rRNA from 1 species